rnacentral:rRNA from 1 species
UACGUAGGCAGCAAGCGUUGUUCGGAAUUACUGGGCGUAAAGAGUGUGUAGGCGGUGCUCUAAGUUCGGUGUGAAGUCUCCCGGCUCAACUGGGAGGGUGCGCCGGAAACUGGGGUGCUGGAGCGCGGGAGAGGAAAGCGGAAUUCCUGGUGUAGCGGUGAAAUGCGUAGAUAUCAGGAGGAACACCGGCGGUGUAGACGGCUUUCUGGACCGUAGCUGACGCUGAGACACGAAAGCGUGGGUAGCAAACAGG